ACAAUGGUGGACUCUUUUCUUUCAGCUCGACUUCAUUGACUUUGUUUUAGAGGAGUCUGAAAGGUGUCAGUAUGACUCACUGUAUGUAUUCUGAGACUUUAAAGCCAGAGAACAAAUCAGUAAGCUGACCAAAGCUGCUCUUCCUGAAAUGUAAAGCUCCACAGCACACUUCAGAGAUACUUGGUCUUGGGCGGUCACAGCAUUCCUCCCCCCGGGUGAUGGUUUUGCAGUUCAUGACGGACGCCAGCGUGUCUGCCCGGGGCUUCAGUGCUAAUCUCUCAGUCAUCAGCAAAAAUGAACUCCAUGAUGACGACCAGGAUGAGGAAAAACAUCACGACAGCAAUCUCCUCCUUCUAUAAUCCAAUAGAGUUUUGUCCUCUUUAUACAUUUUGCAUUAGAUCAAAUGUAUGCCCAGUUGCCAGGUCUGUGUUUUUGUGGAUUCUGUAUUUAUAGUACUGAACUAUAUGUGGUUCUCCUCCAAACUGUUACCACAAAGUAAUGUCUCUGAAGGUGACUCAAGGAGACUCAAACCUGUUCCAGCAUCAUAAUGCCCCUGUACACAA